GUGGGUAGUUUGACUGGGGCGGUCUCCUCCUAAAGAGUAACGGAGGAGCACGAAGGUUGGCUAAUCCUGGUCGGACAUCAGGAGGUUAGUGCAAUGGCAUAAGCCAGCUUGACUGCGAGCGUGACGGCGCGAGCAGGUGCGAAAGCAGGUCAUAGUGAUCCGGUGGUUCUGAAUGGAAGGGCCAUCGCUCAACGGAUAAAAGGUACUCCGGGGAUAACAGGCUGAUACCGCCCAAGAGUUCAUAUCGACGGCGGUGUUUGGCACCUCGAUGUCGGCUCAUCACAUCCUGGGGCUGAAGUAGGUCCCAAGGGUAUGGCUGUUCGCCAUUUAAAGUGGUACGCGAGCUGGGUUUAGAACGUCGUGAGACAGUUCGGUCCCUAUCUGCCGUGGGCGCUGGAGAACUGAGGGGGGCUGCUCCUAGUACGAGAGGACCGGAGUGGACGCAUCACUGGUGUUCGG
rnacentral:rRNA from 2 species